AUCCAACUGACGAGUCUCAAAUAGGACGAAAUGCGCGUCCUGGAU
rnacentral:hammerhead_ribozyme from 1 species